rnacentral:rRNA from 1 species
GACAGAGGGUGCAAACGUUGCUCGGAUUUACUGGGCGUAAAGGGCGCGUAGGCGGCGCAACAAGUCACUUGUGAAAUCUCCGGGCUUAACCCGGAGCGGCCAAGUGAUACUGUCGUGCUAGAGUGCGGAAGGGGCUACUGGAAUUCUCGGUGUAGCGGUGAAAUGCGUAGAUAUCGAGAGGAACACCUGCGGCGAAGGCGGGUAGCUGGGCCGACACUGACGCUGAGGCGCGAAAGCCAGGGGAGCGAACGGG